GGGGAAUAUUGGGCAAUGGGCGCAAGCCUGACCCAGCAACGCCGCGUGAAGGAAGAAGGUCUUCGGAUUGUAAACUUCUGUCAUUGGGGACGAAGGAAGUGACGGUACCCAAUGAGGAAGCCCCGGCUAACUACGUGCCAGCAGCCGCGGUAAUACGUAGGGGGCGAGCGUUGUCCGGAAUUACUGGGCGUAAAGGGUGCGUAGGCGGCGAUGCAAGUCCAUUGUGAAAAGCCCGGGCUUAACCUGGGAGGUGCAGUGGAAACUGCAUGGCUUGAGUGCAGGAGAGGAAAGUGGAAUUCCUAGUGUAGCGGUGAAAUGCGUAGAUAUUAGGAGGAACACCAGUGGCGAAGGCGGCUUUCUGGACUGUAACUGACGCUGAGGCACGAAAGCGUGGGGAGCAAAC
rnacentral:rRNA from 1 species